CAGCAGCCGCGGUAAUACGGAGGGAGCUAGCGUUAUUCGGAAUUACUGGGCGUAAAGCGCACGUAGGCGGCUUUGUAAGUUAGAGGUGAAAGCCUGGAGCUCAACUCCAGAAUUGCCUUUAAGACAGCAUCGCUUGAAUCCAGGAGAGGUGAGUGGAAUUCCGAGUGUAGAGGUGAAAUUCGUAGAUAUUCGGAAGAACACCAGUGGCGAAGGCGGCUCACUGGACUGGUAUUGACGCUGAGGUGCGAAAGCGUGGGGAGCAAACAGGAUUAGAUACCCCAGUAGUCCCUGUCUCUUAUAC
rnacentral:rRNA from 1 species